AGAAAAUUCACCAAUUAUGGACGUUUCUCCAAAAACGUUUCAAGAGAAAGAGAAAAACAAAAAUGCAUGACUAUGAAUCUACCCAAGUCAGAAAUUCAAGGCCCUGUCUAAAGACACAUCCUGAAUCAAACCAUAUGAGAAAAAUUACAAGACAAGAACACAUUUCAAAAUGGAGGUAGAGGAAACAACACUUUUGGGUAAAGUGCAACUGAUGAUUGUGCCAACAUGUGCUAACCCACAGCCUGCAACUGAGGCUGAUACUCCCUGGCAACACUCCAAUUACCACCUCUCAUCUGGCAAGCCCAGUAGUUCAGUUCCUCAACAUCAACGAGCUUGAUAUGAUUGCAGGGAAGUGGCGCCCCUACGUGCCCUGGAACACCGGAGCAAGAUGGCAUUUGUUAGUGUUCAGAUCUGUUUUAGCACUGAAGAUAUUCCAAGCCCCUUAAAAUCUCUGAGUGGCCAAAGUGGUUAUGGAUGGAAAGUAACACAUCUUUAAAGGGGCAUUUGUUACUGCAAGUGUUGGUAAUAAAACAAAGUGCUGGAGAAAGCAAAGGCCAA
rnacentral:antisense_RNA from 1 species